rnacentral:lncRNA from 1 species
CGUGAGUGGGGAGGGAAUGAUCAUUAUUAUAGGUACAGUUGGUGACUUGUUGGUGACUUGUGAUCCUGUUGGUGACUAUGGGUUCAGAAGUAUGGGUCUCAGACGACUUUGGGUUUCGGAUAAAUUUGUGGUUCCGAGUUCAAGCCGAAACUUUGAUCCUGUGCCUUGUGAUGCACAGCCAGCCAGUCAUAUGCAUCAUUUGCAUCAUAGCAUGUUUAUUUUCAAAAAAAAUAAUGCAUAAAAAAAGAAAAAG